GCAGCGCGAUUUACGGCUGCGCCCUCCCGACUGAAAAGCGACCGAAACUGACGCUACGACGCUUUACCGUUGCCUAGACAACCCGGCGCGCGGCAGGGUGGGAAGGCGGAAGCUGCUACGUCACCUCAUUGACUCUUGCUUCAAAAGAUGCGUUGUCUCUUUUUUGUCUGUGUCCGCGUCUCGCGCUCUGGGAAAUAAUUUUAAACGUGUGAUUGGUUUUAUGUGCGGUCUAAUCAGAGACGUGGUCCGUGCGUUGUGUAUUAAUCGUGCCCCACCUCAACUCAAAGCCUUGGCACGCGCUGGAAGAUGGAUCCACGGAAGCAGAUACGAGCAGUUGCAACGUGCCCGGUGUCGGCGGUCGGUAUACUACUGUUUCAGGCAAGUGUCCGUUCAUUUGGUGUUUCUUUAUUUGAUUACGUGUUAUUGUUGGCUGUAGAAGUAUCUCAUUGUGAUCCGAUAGCAUAUUUCACUAAUGUAAGCGCAAAAGCAGUUGCACGUAGUACUACGGCAAGAUGGCUACCUCGAUUGCCCCCUUGUGACUAGCAAGAUGGCUACCUCAAUUGCCCCCGUGUGGCCACGUCGGGCGUGGUGCGCCUGCAUAAUCGCCGCUUUGUUUCUGAGCGCUUGAACUAUCGGAAAUGUGGUGUUCUUGCGAGUUCAGCGCGGCUUAUAACAUGGUCGUUCGUUUUGUGUCGAGUAGAAAAAGAAGUGCCGACUGGCUUCGCCUUUCGAAAGUACCAGCGCAAUAUUGGCUCUCCCUGGCGCGCCCGCGUACUGCUGCUGCUGCUGCUUGCCGGACGCCUUCUUCAGCGUGUUUUGGGCUAUCUUUCUCUCUCCGUUUGUGUGUGUGUGUGUGGUGUGUGUUCGCGCGCGCGUACCUGUUUUGUAAGCGCUUUACGUGUGCGUGCGUGCGUCCGUGCGUUUUUUCUGAGCGCUGUGUACGUGCGUUCGUGCAUGUUUUUGAGUGUUUUGUAUGUGUGCGUGCGCGCGCGCGCGUCCUUGUAUGCGCGUCUCUAUGUGCUUGCGCGUGCGUGCGUUCGUGGGUUUUUUGUGAGCGCUUUGUAUGUGCGCGCGUGCCUGUUGUGUGAGUGCUUUGCAUGUGUGCGUGCGCGCGCGCGCGUUGCUGCUUCGCGAGCGUUUUGCUUGUGCGCGCGUGCUUGUAUGUGGGUCUAUGUGCUUGCGCGUGCGUGCGUUCGUGCGUGUUUUGUGAGUACUUAGCGUGUGUGGGUGCGCGCGCGCGUACGUGUUUUGUGAGCGCUUUGCGAGUGCGCGUGCUUGUAUGCGGGUCUCUAUGUGUUUGCGCGUGCGUUCGUGCGUGCGUGUUUUGUGAGUGCUAUGUAUGUGCGUGCGCGCGCGAGCGUACGUGUUUUGUGAGUUUUCUGCGGGGGCGCGCGUGCCUGUGUGUGUGUGUGUGUGUGUGUGUGUGUGUGUGUGUGUGUGUGUGUGUGUAUUGAAUAAAGUCGGUAGUUUUACACGCAUUAAACCUCUUCAAAAUUGGUGCAGCGGCUGUCCCCGCCCUGAAAACCGAGUUUGGUGUCGAGCCACUCUGGAAUAUAUGGAGGCGCCGGAGGACCAGUGGAAGGUGUCAUCCAGAUGACAGCCUCACAAUUCGCAGCCUUUGUGCUCUCCAUCAGAAAACCAUCAGGGGCAAGCCACUUAUGUUUGCCUUCAGACAAGACAACAUUGAAGCAUGAUUCCAGCACAGCCAUCUCCUGCACUUAUGGUCAAGAUGCUCAGACAAUGGAGUCCCUGUUCCUUGUGGUUAACCGUGAACAGUAUUCUCGCUUUUAUGAAAGCUAAAGGUGAUUUCCUGCAUAAAUUAGGAUUUUGCAGCUCAAAUGUAUACACUUUAUUCUAGUUUGAAGUAACUAAUAUAUGCUGUUUAAUACUUUUAUACUGUUUGAUACAAUCAUUUCUUGUUGGAAAAUAUUAAGCAUGAUGUUUAACAUUUAUUUAUGCAUUACUGGCCGAUGCAUGAUGGCCUGUGUUUAAAAAAUGUGAACUCACACAUUUGAAGCUUCAUUCAGUAAACAGAGUAUGGCUGAUUUAAUAAACAUUAUUUGCUCAUUUAUGUACAAGCCCUAAUCUUCCAUUAUCGCACCAAGUACAAAUAAUUUAGAAAUCGGCAAUGUAUCAUCCGCAUGUGGCCAGUAGAGUACCUUUAUGAACAGUGGUUUGUUUUUAUAAGGCCGCCAUUGAUACGGCACUUCGCACCUACAGUAAUAAAUCUGGCAUAUUUAGGCUGUCUUGCAGUAGAAAAAAAUAUUUUCAAGAAACAUAUUUUAUAACAGACCAUGCAUUGCCUUCGCAUUACAAAAUUUAAGGAAACCAGAAUUGUAAUCGGAAAAUCUGCUACACAGCAUUUUUAGCUCAGAGAAAUCUAUUUACAUUUGAAAAAAAAUGAUUUAGGUGUCAAAAAAAUUUUGUUGCUCAAGGAAUCUUGUUGAGGAGCGAAAAUUCAUCUUGAUGCUCCUGGAUCAAACCUUAUUUAAAGCAAGUUCAUGUGUGAAACAUACGGUGUUUCAGUAUAUCAAAAAUGUGCGCCAGUCAUGCUUUAUAUCGACUUUCCAAAUCAGCUUUUCACAAUGAUUUUCCAUGACAUUGGUGUACAAAAUAACAGGGUGUGUUUCUUGUGUGCGUGCUCUACUUCCCUAAUUGACCUUUGCAAUAUAUAUAUUUUUUUCAAGGCCACCAAAACUAGAAUUUUUGUACCUGAAGUUUAAUAUUGAAAAUUUAUUCCUUUAAGUGGCACCAAACAGGCUGUUUUAGGGUUACCAUAUAUACAGGUUGUUUCAGUUAACUUAAGCUAAACAUUAAAUAAAUGCAAAUGCUACGUAGCUGGACAGAACCAAGGUAAUGUUUGCCGUCGCUUGGAGAUACUCAGACUAUUUUUUGUACUCGGCUUAUUCGAUAUUUAGACCUAAUUAUUUAUUCAACUUCUCAAUUAUAAUUAGAUGAAAAGUGUCAAUGAGUAAAUUGUAGAGCAACAUGAGAAACUCCCAAUACUGUUGCUCAAUACGUGCAACACAAAAUGGUUUUUCCGAGCGUGAAAGAAGCCCGUGAAUAUACGCAAAAUUUUCGUCCGGCUGGCCGCUCGAGGCACUUUAUGUGUACUCGCGGGCAUCUUUCACGCUCGGAAAAACACUUUUGUGUUGCACGUAUUGAGCAACAGAAAGCUGUAUCGGGAGUUUCUCAUGUUGCUCUAUACAAUCUUCUAAUUGACACUUGUCAUCUAAUUAUAAUAGUUGAGAAGUUGAAUAAAUAAUUAAGUCUAAUUAGGUGGAGUACAAAAUAUAGUCUGAGUAUCCCCAAGCGACGGCAAACAAUAUUACUUUAGUUCUGUCCACCUACGGAGCAUUUGCAUAUUUUUAAAGUUUGUCCCAAGUUAACUGAAACACCCUGUAUAUAGGACAGAUUUGAUCAGUUAUAUUUUUAAAAAACAUUUUUGUAGGAAAUGUAAAUUUUCAUGUACUUACAAAUGUAUUUGGUGAUUGCACAUUUUAGGUUAUGUAUGUAUUAUGUAGUUAUGUAUUCUAGCAUGGAAUAAAUAUAUUUA